rnacentral:rRNA from 1 species
CGGUGAUGAUAGCAAAGAGGACCCACCCGUUCCCAUACCGAACACGGAAGUUAAGCUCUUUCGCGUCGAUGAUACUUGGCGGGCGACUGCCUGGGAAAGUAGAACGUUGCC